GAUGAACGCUAGCUACAGGCUUAACACAUGCAAGUCGAGGGGCAUCAGGAAGAAAGCUUGCUUUCUUUGCUGGCGACCGGCGCACGGGUGAGUAACACGUAUCCAACCUGCCCUUUACUCGGAGAUAGCCUUUCGAAAGAAAGAUUAAUACCCGAUGGCAUAAUGAUUCCGCAUGGUCUUAUUAUUAAAGAAUUUCGGUUAUCGAUGGGGAUGCGUUCCAUUAGGCAGUUGGUGAGGUAACGGCUCACCAAACCUUCGAUGGAUAGGGGUUCUGAGAGGAAGGUCCCCCACAUUGGAACUGAGACACGGUCCAA
rnacentral:rRNA from 1 species